rnacentral:rRNA from 1 species
UACGUAGGGGGCAAGCGUUGGUCCGGAAUCAUUGGGCGUAAAGCGCGUGUAGGCGGCUCGAUAAGUCUGCUGUGAAAGUCCAGGCUCAACCCUGGGAUGCCGGUGGAUACUGUCGAGCUCGAGUCCGGAAGAGGCGAGUGGAAUUCCUGGUGUAGCGGUGAAAUGCGCAGAUAUCAGGAGGAACACCAAUGGCGAAGGCAGCACUCUGGGACGUGACUGACGCUGAGACGCGAAAGCGUGGGGAGCAAACAGG